rnacentral:rRNA from 1 species
UACGAAGGGGGCUAGCGUUGCUCGGAAUCACUGGGCGUAAAGGGUGCGUAGGCGGGUUUUUAAGUCAGAGGUGAAAUCCUGGAGCUCAACUCCAGAACUGCCUUUGAUACUGAAAGUCUUGAGUAUGGGAGAGGUGAGUGGAACUGCGAGUGUAGAGGUGAAAUUCGUAGAUAUUCGCAAGAACACCAGUGGCGAAGGCGGCUCACUGGCCCGGUACUGACGCUGAGGUACGAAAGCGUGGGGAGCAAACAGG